UAGGGAAUCUUCGGCAAUGGACGGAAGUCUGACCGAGCAACGCCGCGUGAGUGAAGAAGGUUUUCGGAUCGUAAAGCUCUGUUGUUAGAGAAGAACGUUGGUAGGAGUGGAAAAUCUACCAAGUGACGGUAACUAACCAGAAAGGGACGGCUAACUACGUGCCAGCAGCCGCGGUAAUACGUAGGUCCCGAGCGUUGUCCGGAUUUAUUGGGCGUAAAGCGAGCGCAGGCGGUUCUUUAAGUCUGAAGUUAAAGGCAGUGGCUUAACCAUUGUACGCUUUGGAAACGGGAGGAAUUGAGUGCAGAAGGGGAGAGUGGAAUUCCAUGUGUAGCGGUGAAAUGCGUAGAUAUAUGGAGGAACACCGGUGGCGAAAGCGGCUCUCUGGUCUGUAACUGACGCUGAGGCUCGAAAGCGUGGGGAGCAAACAGG
rnacentral:rRNA from 1 species